rnacentral:miRNA from 1 species
UUUUGUAUAACUCUUCUAGAAAU